CCGUAGCGUCUCCUCAGUCCGAGCUCUUAGGUUCCAGUCCAUGGUUGCACGUUUGGUUAAUCUGGGCAUGCUCAGGGUAUGUGACCUUUAACCUGGGAGUCCAUGGCUGGAGUCCAUGGUUGUCAAUUGAAAAGCAACUGACAACUUUAUUACAUCAAAGUUGAACUGAGGCCUGGAGCGGUGCCUCACGCCUGUAAUCCCGGCACUGUGGGAGGCUGAGGCUGGUGGUUCACCUGAGGUCCAGGGUUCAAGAACCUGAGGCUGGAGUGCUGUGGCACCAUCUCAGUUCACUGCACCUCUGCCUCCCAUGUUCAAGCGGUUCUUGUGCCUCAGCCUCCAGAUUAACUGGGACAAAAGGAUACACCACAAUGCCCAGCUAAUUUUUGUAUUUGUAGUAGAGACCGGGUUUUCCUAUGUUACCCAGGGUGGUCUCAAACUCCUGGGCUCAAGCAGUCUGCCUGCCUCAGCCUCCCAAGGUGGUGAAACUACAGAUGUGAGCCACAGUGUCUGGCCCUCACGCUUAAAACGAUAAACAUUUAUUACUUCACACUGUUUCGGUGGGUGAGGAGCCUAGAAGUGACUUAGCUGAGUGUCUCAGGCUCAGCAUCUCUGAUGGGAUUACAGACAAGCUAUGAGCAGUCAUCUGAAGGUUACCCAGGGCUGGAGCGUCUUCCAAGAUGGUCAUCCAUGUAGCUAUUGGCAGACGUCCUCAAUGCCUUGCCACAUGGGCCUCUCCAUGGGGCUGCCUGGCUGUCCUCACAGCACAGCAUCUGGCUUCCACCUCAACUUCUGUAUUUAUCCCAUCAUUGAGAUUGGCAAAACAAAGGCGAUCGGUGAUGUCCAGGUACACGUCGUCCUCGGGGUCCAGGCGGCGCGGGUCCUGCUGCGCGGAAAUGCGGCUUUUCUUCACGCCCGGCGAGGUCGACGAGCAGCGCCGCAAGCAGUGGGGAUUUCCUAGUGUCUUUGCGAAAGCUCAGGAUGAGACUUUGUCACUAAGGUGGCUCCCUCCUCUCGGCACAUCAAGCUUGUUUGUACCCUGGUCCCAAGAGCUCAGAGGCUGAAGCUCGAGUCCCUGCCUGAAGGUGUCUGCUUUCUGAGAACAGCAGAGACCAACCAUGUCCCAGACCUCCUAUCUCAUCCCGAGACGAAGAAUGCCUAUCCUUCUGGGAAUGCAGUCCAGUAGGUCUCAGCCUCGUUUUACCCAGCCGCCAUUCAAGAUGGAGUUGCUCUAGUUCCAACGCCUCUGACAUAAUAUGAAGUCAUGCAACAUGUGACCUAGGGUUUGCGUUCUUUCACUUAGUAUGUUUCUAAGGUUCCUCUUUUCUGUAAAUCUGUAACGAUUCUAAAUUUUUAAAGUUUAUUAAAAAAACAGUUGAGAGCUGGUGAGCUCUGCCCCUUUCCCAGCUGCCUCUUGGAACCCCUCCCCUCCAGGAGGCUACUCCUCCUUGGGCUGGGGUCGUGCCCUCCGAGUCACCAAGAUGAACUGGGCAGCCCUGCAAGCCACACUCCCCGUCCUAAGCCCGGCGCAGCUACACAGGCUGUGGUAGUAGUACCAGGUGACCUGGGCAGUGGCCCCAUCAGUGCCUGGGAGCUGGGAGCCAGGACAGCACCGACGUCUUCAGGUCAGUGAAGCCCCAUCUCAGGGCAAGAGGGGAGCUGGGGACUCUGUGGGAGACUCAUUUUAAAGCUAGGGGCGGCCCCACGCUCUCUGAACUUCAGGAUUGGCCCAGCAGCGCCCUCACACCCCCUGCUGCAGGCGAUCCCGAGACCCGCGCACAUGCAUGCACGUGCGCACGCACACCUUGGUGUGCACAGUUCUACACGUGCGCUGCUGUUUCCACGUGGAAAAACAAACACAGCUGACGGAAGCGCCUGCCUUUCCUGCGGCCCCGGGCUCAGCGGCCCCGGGCUAUUCUGGGGCCAGCCCACCCCGCCGCGGGGGACACCAUCCGCCCUGGCGCUCAGAACGCGACCCCAGGCUGCGGGGCAGGCGAGCGCUCCCUGGGCUGGAACCUAGCGGUGAGGACCCAGCGGGUUGGGCCCGGGCGUCUGGGGAGCUCCAGAGCCCACACGGUGUCCCCCGCUCUGCCCCCUGCGCGUCAGCCGCCCUCUUUGUAGUCCAGAAGCCGGGCUAGGGGCAGGAUCCCCCGGCCGUUUCCAGCCAGUGGUUUCUUGGCCGCGAAGCGGUGGGGAAUCUGGGGGCGGGGCCAGAGCCCGAGAUGGGUCUGAGGGUGGGAGGCGAUGGCGCCCCCUGGUGGCUGAGCCCGUCCUAGGCGCCAGGCAGAACGCCGGACAAAGCUGUGCCUCCAAGGCCCGGCAGAUAGGAGCGCAGGGCCCGGCAAGGUGGCGGGGCCGGUGUCGCACGCUCAGGCGCUCCCUUUCAUGCAAAGCCAGUGCUCCGAGCUCAGCCCUCGUGCAGGUGGCUCCCUGAGCCUUCCCCUCCGAAUGGCCGGAGGCUGCAGCCCUCCCCGGCCCCUUCCUCAAGAGCAUCAAAAGGGACACUGACCAAGUGCACCACGCAGCAGAGUGACCAUCCCCGGGAACUCGUGCCACUGCCUUCUGGACUGCACGAAUGCCCUGUUUUCUGCAGCAGCUGGCAGCAGCCUGGCCUGGCAGCGCCCCCAGGACUGGCAGCAGCUGCAGGGGCUCCCAUCCCUGGCCCUCUCCCCAGGGUGCACAGCACUGUUCACAGAGACACUUGCUAAAGGAGAUUUAUUUUUACUGCAGCUUUUCCUGCCCCUAAACUGCCCAAGAACAAAGAACAGGAAAUAGACCCAGCAGCCUCCACCCAGCCCAGCCACAAGGCCUCAGCCUCCCAUUAGAGCCUCCACAGCUCCCCUCAGCUCAGCUCAGCAUGGCCAAGGAGCAAAAGGCUUGGAGACAAAGCCCAGAGGGUGAAAAGGGGGUCAGCCCUGAGUGUCUCUGAGGGUGCCAAGCCCAGCCUGGGCCCUGCCUCUCUCC